rnacentral:rRNA from 1 species
GACGGAGGGUGCAAGCGUUGUUCGGAAUUACUGGGCGUAAAGAGCGUGUAGGCGGCCAGGUAGGUCUGCUGUGAAAACUCGAGGCUCAACCUCGAGACGUCGGCGGAAACCAUCUGGCUAGAGUCCGGAAGAGGAGAGUGGAAUUCCUGGUGUAGCGGUGAAAUGCGUAGAUAUCUGGAGGAACACCGGUGGCGAAGGCGGCAUCCUGGACCGGUAUUGACGCUGAGGCGCGAAAGCCAGGGGAGCAAACGGG